ACAAAAAUAAAUGCCACGUUAAAAUCAUACUGGAGGAGCUGGGAUGUAGCACCGUGGGUUAGCUUCUCAGAGAAGUCCCAAACUUGAGUUGGGAGCCUGACUUUUGUCUUCUCACAUAAACCAGUUACUGCAUACAAAGAUUUCUUCGAAGAGAGAACUGAAUCUUGAAAAUGACAGCUCCCUUUGGCUGAAUAAUCUCUUAGUUUUGAGUGAGAGACUGAGCAGUAGGGUUCAGGAGGAGAAUUCCAGCAGCUGGGAGUUUGUCCUUCAGGGAGAAUCUGGGCUAUACGUCAUGGCAUCCCUCUGUGAAGAUAAAGCCCUGUAUAACAAGUGGAGGCAGAAGAAGGAAAUGUGAUGAGGACACCUUUACGAUGUGGGGUACUGAAGAAUUUCUUAAGAGAGUAAAAAGUUGCAAUGAUAAAGAGCAGGAUCCUUGGUUGAACCGCAUCAAAGUGGAAAACAGGAAGGAGAUGCUAAGUAGCACAGAUGAAUAAUAAAGAUGAUUAACAUGAAACAGACUUGAAAAAAUACACAUACAGAGUGUUUUACAGAGGCCUCACAUAUAGAAUAUUCAACAAAUCACACCACUUAGAAAACAAUAUAAAGGUUAAAUAUGCAAAAUACAUUGAAAGCAAUUUGCACAUGGGUCAAUGUGCUGGUCAAGGAACAACCAAAUUUUUAACAUUACAAAUUGAGAAAAAAGUGAGAUCAAAGCAAAGUGAAAUAAAACUCCACUUUGCUUGGAGCUAAGUGGCAAAAACUAGAGGACAUCUAGAGUUGGCACUGGCGUAGGAAAAGAAAAACUGCUUCCUUGGUGUUAACACCUGCAUAGUGGGGAUAUGUACACAAACACUUCGGGACCCACACAUCAGUGUUUAUGGGAGUGCACGUAACAAAAAGUGUCCCAUUAUAUUUGGGCUGAUAAGGAAUCUUCUGUGUGCAAAUUUAACUGAAAAAUAUUUUUCUUAGCAAUAUUUCGAUAAUAAAAACAAACAGAUGAAAAAGCCUAAUGGUUAUCCACUGGGAAAUAAAUGAAGGCUGAUGUAAGCACAGAGUGGCGUGCCUGGUGGGAGUCCCUGCCACUCCAGGCCUCUGUGUACUGGAAGAAGUGGGUCUUACUGAUCCUCCAUCUGACCUAGUACAGAAGAAGCCCCAAGACUCAGCCUGUUCCAAGUGAGAGCCUACGUGCACCCCCACUUCCUCCUCCCACAUUCCACUCAAGCAGCGCCUUGGCCCUGCCUCACGCUGUCCCCUGACAGCCUCGGAGCUCACCUCAUUGAGCCCAGACCUGCCUGGCUUCAUCCUCUGCAUUCCCAUAUCCCGCAUGUUCUCUCUGUAUAAUAUGCUCAGCAUCUGACACAAUGCGCAUUUAUGACUGUGUCUGUCUGUCUGACUGUCUCUCUCUCUGUGAUUAACAUAUAAACCACAAACGGAGAUUAGCUUUUACUUUUUGUCAACCUGUAGGCUUAACACUACAAAUACGCAAAGCACUAUGGACUCAAAAAUGCAGCUGCUUCUCAGGAUCCGUGGGGACUGGGCCCAGGGCCUGCUCACAUACCAGAACUGAGGAUGCUCAAGUCUUUUGCAUAAAAUGCAUAACAUUUGCAUUUAACUUACCCACAUUCACUUGUCUACUUUCAGUCAUUCCUAGACUAUCUAAUCCAGUGUGCAUGAUGUGUAAAUAGUUGUUAUACUGUAUUGUUUAGGGAAUAAUAACAAGGAAAAAAGUCUGCAUAGACUUAGUACAGAUGCAAGGAUUACAGAUCUAAUUACAUUUUCCAUCAGUAGUCGGCUGACACUACAGAUAGGGAGAGUCCACUGUGUGUACAGAAUGAAUGAACAAGGAGAGUUUUCAAAGCAAACUGUAAAAUGUAACAUAUAAUAUAAUACAGCUCACAUAAACCUUUUAAAACAUUCAGAAUAAUACUGCCUACAAGCUGUUUAAACAUUUUUUUAAACAGACAGACCAGAAAAAUGUAUUAUAAUUUCCUGGUAGUGAUUGUCUUUGAGAAGACAAUGAUUAUAAUGGCUUUGAGGAAGAAAAAGAGCCUUCACUAUUAUCACCAAUGUUGGGAGCCGCGUCUGUGAUAGCUCGCCUUGCGCGGCGGACGUGCGGCCUGUGGUAAAGAGCAAAGCCUGAGGUAGAUUACCCCUCCCAUCGAAUAUGUUAGUUUCCUGCUUACCGCGUAAACAACCCGCUCAACAAUAUAGUCUGCCUGGCAACUGAUGAUGUUAGCCAAUCAGCUUGCCUUGCUUACUUUAACAUGAUUGGACACUGUACCCGUAUAUAUACCGGUGCCACCCCUGGGCGGAAGAAGAAGCCAGGUAGAAGCCCAGAAGUAAAAGCCCAAAAGGAGCCGCGGAGAGCGGACCGGUAGAGGCUUUGGGGCAGACUGAAGCACAAAAGGAGCCGCGGGGAGCGGACCAGAGGAGGCUUCAGCUGGGAGAACCCAGGGCAGGCUGUACGGAGAAGGAAAAUAAAAAGAAAAGGUUGUCCACUGCCAGACUUUGUCGUGUGUCCUUCCUGCCGGCCGGGAGUGGACAUCGACAUUUGGAGGCCCGCCCGGGGACUGAUCACCCCCGAGACGUGGAAGUGGACAACGCUCCAGUACAGAGCUGCGAGACAGGAACCGGGACGAGAACCACUGUGGAUACCAGAGAGACUGACACGGGCAACAAAGCCCUCGACUGAAGAUCAGACCUGCCCUACUGGAGAUCCAUCACAGACCAACCAAUAAGAUGAAUAGAAAUAGCGGUAGCCCGAAAUGGACAAGAAGAUCCUCAGGCAUAUGCAUGGCUUGCUCAAUUGGCCCACGACCGAGUCUAGAUAUGGCGGGCAUCCCUCAUUCUCCUCCAUAAGGUGACAAUACACAGCAGGGUAGGUGAGUCAAUGACGGGUAAGAGCGUGCCUCCCCAGCACGACUCGACCUAAGCCAGGCCCUACCCCAUCCUGCACGUAAGCCGCUGGACUGUUAGAUGCUGCCCAGGUCUAAAUUUCUCUCCGAGGGGAUUUCUUUACGGAGAGGAAAUGAGUGCAAGCUUGUGUGCAUCCAGGUUCCGUCCAGUUUGUGCCUGGCCCUAGAAAAAGGACGAGGGCCUCAGGGCCUUGGCAGACCAUGGCAUGGCCAACCAGGGUCUAAGCCAAGGACCUACGGUGGACCUACACAUAGGGCAUAAGCCUCUGCACCCAGUCCAGGAAGGGCUACGAUGCGCACAUUCAUAAAAAAUAAAAUAGGGGGAGAUGUUGGGAGCCGCGUCUGUGAUAGCUCGCCUUGCGCGGCGGACGUGCGGCCUGUGGUAAAGAGCAAAGCCUGAGGUAGAUUACCCCUCCCAUCGAAUAUGUUAGUUUCCUGCUUACCGCGUAAACAACCCGCUCAACAAUAUAGUCUGCCUGGCAACUGAUGAUGUUAGCCAAUCAGCUUGCCUUGCUUACUUUAACAUGAUUGGACACUGUACCCGUAUAUAUACCGGUGCCACCCCUGGGCGGAAGAAGAAGCCAGGUAGAAGCCCAGAAGUAAAAGCCCAAAAGGAGCCGCGGAGAGCGGACCGGUAGAGGCUUUGGGGCAGACUGAAGCACAAAAGGAGCCGCGGGGAGCGGACCAGAGGAGGCUUCAGCUGGGAGAACCCAGGGCAGGCUGUACGGAGAAGGAAAAUAAAAAGAAAAGGUUGUCCACUGCCA